GACGAACGCUGGCGGCGUGCUUAACACAUGCAAGUCGAACUGAAAGGCCCUGCUUUUGUGGGGUGCUCGAGUGUCGAACGGGUGAGUAACACGUGAGUAACCUGCCCUUGACUUUGGGAUAACUUCAGGAAACUGGGGCUAAUACCGGAUAGGAGCUCCUGCUGCAUGGUGGGGGUUGUAAAGUUUCGGCGGUUGGGGAUGGACUCGCGGCUUAUCAGCUUGUUGGUGGGGUAGUGGCUUACCAAGGCUUUGACGGGUAGCCGGCCUGAGAGGGUGACCGGCCACAUUGGGACUGAGAUACGGCGCAGACGCCUACGGGAGGCAGCAGUGGGGAAUAUUGCACAAUGGGCGGAAGCCUGAGGAAGAAACGCCGCGUGCGGGAUGACGGCCUUCGGGGUGUAAACAGCUGUCGCCUGUGACGAAGCGGGAGUGACGGUAAUGGAUAAAGAAGCACCGGCUAACUACGUG
rnacentral:rRNA from 1 species